GACGAACGCUGGCGGCGUGCCUAAUACAUGCAAGUAGAACGCUGAAGGAAGGAGCUUGCUCUUUCCGGAUGAGUUGCGAACGGGUGAGUAACGCGUAGGUAACCUGCCUGGUAGCGGGGGAUAACUAUUGGAAACGAUAGCUAAUACCGCAUAACAGUAGAUAUCGCAUGAUAUUUGCUUAAAAGGUGCAAUAGCACCACUACCAGAUGGACCUGCGUUGUAUUAGCUAGUUGGUGAGGUAACGGCUCACCAAGGCCACGAUACAUAGCCGACCUGAGAGGGUGAUCGGCCACACUGGGACUGAGACACGGCCCAGACUCCUACGGGAGGCAGCAGUAGGGAGUCUUCGACAAUGGACGGAAGUCUGACCGAGCAACGCCACGUGAGUGAAGAAGGUUUUCGGAUCGUAAAGCUCUGUUGUAAGAGAAGAACGAGUGUGAGAGUGGAAAGUUCACACUGUGACGGUAUCUUACCAGAAAGGACGGCU
rnacentral:rRNA from 1 species